CACUGAAGUAGUUUUUUUUCCUCCUUCAAAUUACCUUGGACUGCAAUAGCCAACCUUUUGUAAGCUGGAUAUUUAUCUGAUAAUAUCCUGGUCGCUGGCAGUGAUAAAAGAAAAGUAAUGCUUGUCCAUUUAGAAAUGAAUUACCAGGGUGGUCGUCAGAAAAAUAACGAAGGCUGGCAUCAAAUUUCUCGAGGAGCAAGAAUGAUUGAGAAAGGCACAUUGUUGAGUGUAGAUCGUAGCCUAAAAACUAAUACUUUAUUUGAUAUCUGUGUUGAACACAUGAAGGUGGUAAAUUGAUUUAUCUGGAGGACCUUGAAAUAAGAAAAGGAAGAAACAAAAGCUAGGCAAUUUGGCUUUAUCCAAUAAACAUGUUAAGGUUCACUAUAACUAGAGCAACCACCCUCCUCUUUCGAGGUUUCGACGCUCAAAAGCCGUAGUCACAUGUCAUCCACGAAGCGUAUCAUGGCCGUAAGCUAGAUGAUUGAAUCUUUAAGGGUAUUUUGCAUCCUUUUCAGCCUGACAUUUCUAUAAACGAAAGGGGAAUUUUGGGUGGUAAAUCAUCUUUCAAAAGCAUGCCCUUCCACCGCAAUAUAACACAACCACGCACUAACGAUGUUAUCAUAAAAAAAACAAAAAAAAAGGGGAUAAGCUGUCACAGGUUCGUACUGGAAGAAACACAAGUUUAACCAGACUAAACUUGUGAUUCCAGGUGCCAAGAUUGAAAUUUCCGUUGAUCCGGAAAAAUCAUCUCAAAAAUCAACGUGCGAUUUUAAUGAAGUAAUGACAUUAGCAUACCUCAUGGCAAACUUCGUGUUGAGUCAUGACCUGAACAUGUAAACCACGGCACAAGAUUUCUCAUGGCAGACAGAAUAAUCACAGCAUGCCUUUGGUGACAUCGACGAUAGACAUGAAUUGGCUCUUUAAAUCUAUAGCUGUACGAGCUCAAAGGAAAAGGGUUGAGCACAAACCUUUAUUUAUCUUUAAGUAGCACAGACAAAUGUGAAGUAGAUAUAUAUAAAUUCCAUCCUGCU